rnacentral:rRNA from 1 species
GACGAACGCUGGCGGCGUGCUUAACACAUGCAAGUCGAGCGGUAAGGCCCUUUCGGGGGUACGACGAGCGGCGAACGGGUGAGUAACACGUGGGUGACCUGCCCUCAGCUCUGGGAUAAGCCUGGGAAACGUGGGUCUAAUACUGGAUAUGACUCCACGGUGCAUGUCGUGGGGUGGAAAGCCUUGUGCGGCUGAGGAUGGGCCC